rnacentral:rRNA from 1 species
CUUAGUACGGCGAGUGAAGCGGUAAAAGCUCAAAUUUGAAAUCUGGUACUUUCAGUGCCCGAGUUGUAAUUUGUAGAAUUUGUCUUUGAUUAGGUCCUUGUCUAUGUUCCUUGGAACAGGACGUCAUAGAGGGUGAGAAUCCCGUUUGGCGAGGAUACCUUUUCUCUGUAAGACUUUUUCGAAGAGUCGAGUUGUUUGGGAAUGCAGCUCAAAGUGGGUGGUAAAUUCCAUCUAAAGCUAAAUAUUGGCGAGAGACCGAUAGCGAACAAGUACAGUGAUGGAAAGAUGAAAAGAACUUUGAAAAGAGAGUGAAAAAGUACGUGAAAUUGUUGAAAGGGAAGGGCAUUUGAUCAGACAUGGUGUUUUUUGCAUGCACUCGCCUCUCGUGGGCUUGGGCCUCUCAAAAAUUUCACUGGGCCAACAUCAAUUCUGGCAGCAGGAUAAAUCAUUAAGAAUGUAGCUACUCUGUAGUGGUAUAGCUUUUUGGAAUACUGGUAGCCGGGAUUGAAGACUGGCCUUCCGCAAGGAUGUUGGCAUAAUGGUUAAAUGCCCCCCGUCUUGAAACACGGGACCAA